rnacentral:rRNA from 1 species
AGUCUGGUGCCAGCAGCCGCGGUAAUUCCAGCUCCAAUAGUGUAUACUAAAGUUGCUGCAGUUAAAAAGCUCGUAGUUGGAUUUCGGUUAAUGAAAAGUUAGUCCACUUAAUAUAUAAGUGCGUACUGACGUUUUAUUUCCUUCUUUUCAGAUAUACAACUUGUUGUAUUCUGAAUCUUUUACUUUGAGAAAAUUAGAGUGUUCAAAGCAGGCGUAACCAAGCCUUUGAAUAUAUUAGCAUGGGAUAAUGGAAUAAGACUUUUUGCCUUAUUUUCGUUGGUUCUUGAGGCUAAAGUAAUGAUUAAUAGGGAUAGUUGGGGUCAUUAGUAUUUAAUUGUCAGAGGUGAAAUUCUAAGAUUUAUUAAAGACUAACUACUGCGAAAGCAUUUGACAAGGAUGUUUUCAUUAAUCAAGAACGAAAGUUGGGGGAUCGAAGAUGAUCAGAUACCGUCGUAGUCUCAACCAUAAACUAUGCCGACCAAGGAUUCGGGGGUGUUAUAUGAAUGACCCUCCGGGCACUUAUAGAGAAAUCAUAAGUAUUUGGGUUCCGGGGGGAGUAUGGUCGCAAGGCUGAAACUUAAAGGAAUUGACGGAAGGGCACCACCAGGAGUGGAAUAUGCGGUUUAAUUUGACCCAACACGGGAAAACUUACCAGGUCCAGACACAGUGAGGAUUGACAGAUUGAGAGCUCUUUCUUGAUUUUGUGGGUGGUGGUGCAUGGCCGUUUCUAGUUGUUGGAGUGAUUUGUCUGGUUAAUUCCGUUAACGAACGAGACCUUAACCUAUUAAAUAGUUACACAUACUUGGGAUUCGUCCUAAUAGUAUGUGGUUAACUUCUUAGAGGGACUCUUCACGUAAAGAGUGAAUGGAAGUUUGAGGCAAAAACAGGUCUGUGAUGCCCUUAGAUGUUCUGGGCUACACGCGUGUUACACUGAUAUAUUCAACAAGCAUUAUAAUUCCUUACCCGAUGGGGUUGGGUAAUCUUUUAAAUGUAUAUCGUGAUGGGGAUAGACCAUUGUAAUUAUUGGUCUUGAACGAGGAAUUCCUAGUAAGUGCAAGUCAUUAGCUUGCGCUGAUUACGUCCCUGCCCUUUGUACACACCGCCCGUCGCUCCUACCGAUGAAUGGUCCGGUGAGGACUCAGGAUGACCGUGGAUUUUGGUAUAAUAUACCAUGCCAUUGUUUGUCAGAAUCUGUUCAAACCUUAUCAU